AAAUUGAAGAGUUUGAUCAUGGCUCAGAUUGAACGCUGGCGGCAGGCCUAACACAUGCAAGUCGAACGGUAACAGGAAGCAGCUUGCUGCUUUGCUGACGAGUGGCGGACGGGUGAGUAAUGUCUGGGAAACUGCCUGAUGGAGGGGGAUAACUACUGGAAACGGUGGCUAAUACCGCAUAACGUCGCAAGACCAAAGAGGGGGACCUUCGGGCCUCUUGCCAUCAGAUGUGCCCAGAUGGGAUUAGCUUGUUGGUGAGGUAACGGCUCACCAAGGCGACGAUCCCUAGCUGGUCUGAGAGGAUGACCAGCCACACUGGAACUGAGGCACGGUCCAGACUCCUACGGGAGGCAGCAGUGGGGAAUAUUGCACAAUGGGCGCAAGCCUGAUGCAGCCAUGCCGCGUGUAUGAAGAAGGCCUUCGGGUUGUAAAGUACUUUCAGCGGGGAGGAAGGUGUUG
rnacentral:rRNA from 1 species